CACUAUAGAUAUAUACUCUAAACCUACUUAUUUAGAUUAGCCUACAAGUCCAAUCUACUGUCAUUUUCACGCACCCCCCACCCUAUUUCCCCCUUUCUCUCUCGGACCAGAGAAACCCUAACCCUAGAAAAAUCAAGCCAUGUCGUCCAAGCAAGGGGGGAAAGCAAAGCCUUUGAAAGCACCCAAGGCCGAAAAGAAAGAAUACGAUGAGGAUGAUUUGGCUAAACUCCAAAAGAAGAAAGAAGAGGAAAAGGCACUCAAGGAGCUCAAAGCUAAAGCUCAACAGAAAGGUGCAUUUGGAGGUUCUGGUCUGAAGAAAAGCGGGAAAAAAUGAAGCUUCAAGAUCAAUGAAAUUGAAGCUCUUAAACUUAUCUAAAGUUCUCCUGCUAUAUACUAUGAUUCAGGAUAAAACUGGUCUUUGUGCUUUGUACUAUGUUCAUGUUGAACCUUUAUUGCAUUAUCCUAUAUAGUAUAAUAAGAUUGAAUGCUUGAUGUUUUCGGAGAAAA